AGCGAACGCUGGCGGCAUGCUUAACACAUGCAAGUCGCACGGGCGGGGGCAACUCCGUCAGUGGCGGACGGGUGAGUAACGCGUAGGAAUCUAUCCUUGAAGUGGGGGACAACCGUGGGAAACUACGGCUAAUACCGCAUGAUGCCGUGAAGGGCCAAAGACGAAAGUCGUUUGAGGAGGAGCCUGCGUCUGAUUAGGUAGUUGGUGGGGUAAAGGCCUACCAAGCCUACGAUCAGUAGCUGGUCUGAGAGGAUGAUCAGCCACAUUGGGACUGAGACACGGCCCAAACUCCUACGGGAGGCAGCAGUGGGGAAUAUUGGACAAUGGGCGCAAGCCUGAUCCAGCAAUGCCGCGUGGGUGAAGAAGGUCUUCGGAUUGUAAAGCCCUUUUGGCGGGGACGAUGAUGACGGUACCCGCAGAAUAAGCUCCGGCUAACUUCGUG
rnacentral:rRNA from 1 species